UCCUGGUUACAGAACCAAACACUGGCCACAACCACUUAGGUUACUCCACGGACAGGACUCAAUACGGUUCAUUGGACAACGGUUACAAAUUCUAGCCUUAAAAUCUCUUUUUCUAGAGAUUAUUGCUAGGGAAAUCAAUCUCAGGUUUCUCUGAUUCAGUCUCCUUCUGAAGUUGUGUGUAGUGGUGACUCGUCAUGGAUAAAG